UACGUAGGGUCCAAGCGUUAUCCGGAAUUACUGGGCGUAAAGCGUGUGUAGGCGGGAGUUUAAGUGCAAUGCGAAAUCUUGUGGCUCAACCAUAUAGACUGUAUUGCAUACUGGACACCUUGAGGAUGGCAGAGGCAAGUGGAAUUUGUAGUGUAGCAGUGAAAUGCGUAGAUAUUACAAGGAACACCAAUGGCGAAGGCAGCUUGCUGGGCUUCUUCUGACACUGAGGUACGAAAGCGUGGGGAGCGAACAGGA
rnacentral:rRNA from 1 species